GGUUAGGCUGAGAGGCAGUGAGACUUUUAAUCUCAGGGUUGUGGGUUCGAAUCCCAUGUUGGGCG